CUCGUUGGGAGAAGGAAGGCGUGGCUGGAGACUGCAGAGACAUGUGGUCUGCAGCUCUCCCUGGGGAGGAGAGAGUGGUGAAGCUGGCAAAUGUGGAUGGAGGGGAGCACCAGAUGGUACUGGGCAAAUACUAAUUCUGAUAGCGCCUCCAUGAGACAAAUAUUCUUGCCAGAGAGGAGACAGAGGGUCACUUGUCUGCAGGAGGUGCACUUAGGUAAAAGGCAAGAUGUAAAUGUGAUGCUGGAAAACCAGAUACCAGCUCAGGUACUGGUGACAUCUGCUGUUGUGUAAACAAAGAGC